GGGACUGUGAGCACCAUGGCCUGGACGCCUCUCCUUCUCCUGCUCCUCUCUCACUGCACAGGGUCCCUCUCCCAGCCUGUGCUCACCCAGCCGCCCUCCCUGUCUGCAUCCCUGGGAGCAUCAGCCCGACUCACCUGCACCCUGAGCAGUGGGAACAGUGUUGGUGGAUACAGCAUAUACUGGUACCAGCAGAAUCCAGGGAGCCCUCCCCGGUACCUCCUGAGGUUCAAGUCAGACUCGAAUAAGGAGCUGGGCUCCGGGGUCCCCAGCCGCUUCUCUGGGUCCAAAGAUGCCUCGGCCAACGCAGGGCUCCUGCUCAUCUCCGGGCUGCAGCCUGAAGACGAGGCUGACUAUUACUGUCAAGUGUAUACAAGCAGUAAUGAGCACAGUGACAGAGACAGAUGA